UACUUGAUCACACUCUACAACCUUAGGUUUGGGGUAUGCAAAAUUUGAUCAUUAUCUUUUAUUCUUAUGCUAUAUUCUUUUAUUGACUUUUGUGUUUUUUACUGUGAAGGCUGGAAUACUAUCGAAUAUUUUGAGCUCGGUUAUUUGAACCAAGAUCAGUAUACAAUGAGAAUGGAACUCUUGUUGUCGCACUUUUUGAUAUAUUGAAAAUGCCAUCAAGAAUAUUUGUCGUCAAAGUGUUUUCACGACUUAUUCAAAGACAACAAGAAUGGAACUCGGGAUGUCAGUUCAAAUGUCAAAUUCUCAAAACUUUUGGAAGGCAACUUGUGGAACUUUAGGUCAUGAGGAUGGAAAACUUAUGUGCGCUUAUCAUUUCAUCAACUUUCUAGUUCCUAUUUUGAAAGUUGAUAAACAAAUCACAUCUCCAUGAGACUUUGAAUCGUAAAAGAGAAUGGAACUUGGGUUGCCACUUUAACUGUCGAAUUCCUGGAUAUUUUUGAAAGGCAACUUGUGGAAGGAAUUAGAGCUUUAGAUCACGAAGAUGGAAAACCUUUAUCGACACUUUUCAGUCUGCAACUUUCCAGGUUUUUUUUGUUCUAUGUUCAUAGCAAAUCCAGUCUCCAAAGCUUGAAUUGUAAAUGAGAACAGAGUAUUGUGCUUGUAAUUUAUUUCUUCUUCAGAUUUCACUUUCUCGUGUAAUUGUACUUUGCUUAUUAUAUGAAUGAAUAAAGAUACUUUCUGCAAUUUC
rnacentral:lncRNA from 1 species